CCUACGGGCGGCUGCAGUGGGGAAUAUUGCACAAUGGGCGAAAGCCUGAUGCAGCAACGCCGCGUGAGCGAUGAAGGCCUUCGGGUCGUAAAGCUCUGUCCUCAAGGAAGAUAAUGACGGUACUUGAGGAGGAAGCCCCGGCUAACUACGUGCCAGCAGCCGCGGUAAUACGUAGGGGGCUAGCGUUAUCCGGAAUUACUGGGCGUAAAGGGUGCGUAGGCGGUCUUUCAAGCCAGAAGUGAAAGGCUACGGCUCAACCCCGGGACUGCUCUUGGAACUGCGUGGCUGGAGUGCAGGAGGGGCAGGCGGAAUUCCUGGUGUAGCGGUGAAAUGCGUAGAUAUUAGGAGGAACACCAGUAGCGAAGGCGGCUCUCUGGACUGUAACUGACGCUGAGGCACGAAAGCGUGGGGAGCAAACAGGAUUAGAUACCCUGGUA
rnacentral:rRNA from 1 species